UACAGAGGGUGCAAGCGUUGCUCGGAAUCACUGGGCGUAAAGGGUGCGUAGGUGGAUAUCUAAGUCAGGGGUGAAAUCCUGGAGCUCAACUCCAGAACUGCCUUUGAUACUGGGUAUCUUGAGUUCGGGAGAGGUGAGUGGAACUGCGAGUGUAGAGGUGAAAUUCGUAGAUAUUCGCAAGAACACCAGUGGCGAAGGCGGCUCACUGGCCCGAUACUGACACUGAGGCACGAAAGCGUGGGGAGCAAACAGG
rnacentral:rRNA from 1 species